rfam:Danio rerio chromosome 4, GRCz11 reference primary assembly.
GGCGCUGUGGCUUAGUUGGUCAAAGUGCCUUUCUAGUAAACAGGAGAUCCUGGGUUCGAAUCCCAGCAGUGCCU